UACGUAGGGGGCAAGCGUUGUCCGGAAUCAUUGGGCGUAAAGAGCGUGUAGGCGGUCCGGUCAGUCGGUUGUGAAAGUCAAGGGCUCAACCCUUGAAUGCCGGCCGAUACUGCCGGGCUAGAGUCCGGAAGAGGUGAGUGGAAUUCCUGGUGUAGCGGUGAAAUGCGCAGAUAUCAGGAGGAACACCGAUGGCGAAGGCAGCUCACUGGGACGGUACUGACGCUGAGACGACGAACGUGGGGAGCAAACAGG
rnacentral:rRNA from 1 species